GAUCACUGACAAAAGAACAAACCAAUGCAACGCGUUUGUCAAUCAAUUCACUUUCAGUUUUAACUGAUGUUCUUUAUGAUCGUUUAUGUCUGGAUUCGGCGCCAUUAACACCUAGGAGUCAGUGUGAUGUAACAUUUUUAUAUGCAAAACUUAGAAGAUUUGGUCAAUAUAUGCCAACUAAAGGAACAUAUGGUGGAGAAUUUAAAGACAUUAAAGAUGUCCAUAAGAAAAUCGGUGAUGAUAUAGAACGAGUUCGACUUAUCCGAAAUGAAAUCCAGCAUUUUGGCCUCAUUUUCAAUGACCCACGACAGGUUCAUGGAAAUAAGACGAAUGUGUCAAACUAUUGCAAAAAGAAUUGAACUCCAUAACAAAAAAGGCACGGCAUACAGCGAUGACAUCAGAGCUGUUUUACAAAAAGACAUAAGCAGCCGUCAAGCAGAGGCUAUGGAAACUAAAAUUAUGUUCGAAAAACCUAGACUUAACAUCAAGAAAACGUUUUACAAAAGUACAGAAGGAGAAGGUUGCACAUUGGAAUGCCAAAUCCUGGUACCGUUGCCAGAUGGUGCAACUAUUCAGUGGUUUAAAGGAAAAGAUGAUAACAGGACAAAUAUCAAGGAUGAUCCAAACUGGGAAACAAAGUACAGCGGCGCUUCUAUGCAGUUUCCAUCCCUGAAUAUUUUAAACUGUGACGAAUCUGAUGAAGAUUUUUAUUCCAGCAUAAUAAAAUACCCACAAGACAGCGCCGAGCAUGACGAUAGUGCGAGAAUCGAGUGGCCGACUACGUUCCUUCAUGUUCGUAAAAAGACUGAGUAAAGUAGUGGAUCGGUGAACAAGUAGUUUUAUCAUAAAGACAUAAGUCGAUGCAUGCCUGAAUAUUUAUAAUAUUCUGACAGCAAAAACAAUUAUUAUCAAUGGAGAGAGGGACUUGUUCUGUAAGACAUUUUGACGAAAAAUUUGUGUAAAAUAGUAUUUUCGUUGUAUUUUUAUAUAUUUGUAGAAUAUGUACCUUCUAUAUUUUCAGUGUAUAUAUCAUACUCUAUAUAAACUACCAAAUAAUGUAUUGUUUUAAUGUA